CCACGUCCAUGAGCUGCACAGAGCCAUUCCUGGAAAAGGUCAGCACCUGGGAAGCAAAGGGAUGGCAACGGGGACUUCUCUGUCACCCCCGUUUGGAAUAAGAGAGGCGGCUGGACAUCCAGGCCAGCAACAGAGAGAACAGAUUUGCUCGGGGAGCAGAGAAACAUGUGUGUUUACUUCUCCGGUGUCCCCAGCAGCAACAGGCCCUUUUCCAGGUGCCGUGUCUGAUGCUGGGUGGCGCUCCCCACUCCCGCCCAGGCUUCUCUUCUGGCUCACCAGCAUCCCUGUCCAGGAGCCGGCCCUCCACGUGGCCGGACGCAGUGCCGCCCUCGGCACACGUAUGCUUUCCUCCCCAUCCUCGGAGACCCCGCUCCAUCCCACUGCCCUUCCUGGCCCGGGUUCGGAGACCGGCCUCUCUCCUGCCUGGCUCCUUCCUCCCUGUAGGUGAACCUGCUAGAUGCGCCUGAUCGAAUCGUCCUCCAGCUGCCACACCACCUCCCCGCCCCUCACACUCCAACACCUGAGAGUGCGUCCUCACCUUCUCUGCCCCGUCCUGUCGCUUCCUCCCGAAAGCAGCCCCCCGCCCCCACUGACUUCUGCAGGCUGAGGUGGUGACCCCUGUCUCUGUUCUGUGGCAUCCAGGGCCCAGUGCAUCACAGCCUCUCUCGUCUUCCAGGGCAGCUGCGUGGUGAUUCGUCUGCCUUCCCAGCUGAACCGUGUGAUCUGCGAGGGCGGCGGCUUGCUCUUUCGUCCCUGUGCGCCCCAAAGCUAGUCCGGUGCCUCGCACUUGACAGGCCUUCAACAAACAGUCUUUGAAGGGAAAACGAACACGCUUGCUGAAGAGGAGUGAGGGGCGUGAGGAACCUACCAUGCCAGGUCCAGAGACAGAACAUCACCUGCUCCCUGGAAGCUUCGCAGGGGCCCGUCUCCAGUCACAACCUCCUGGCUAGAGCAGCACCCAUUCUCUUGCUUUUCCAUAAGCACUGCACAAGUUGGGGGUGCUCCACUUCUUUGAGCCAAGACUCCUUGGGCAAUCUGUACACAUCCAGCCAAAUCUCUCCGGCUCCUGCAUUGGGAAACCACGGACCCGUUGAGCAAUCUCGAGCAGGCGAGAAGUCUCCUGUGAGGGAUGGCCUGUCUUCUCAGAACCCCUGGCCCAGAGACCUGCUGGCGCCCUCGGAACGGCAACUUUGACAAACGGAAGGAGAUGUCAUUGCAAGUCCUUGCUCCUGGAGAGCUGGUGAGCCCCGACCGACGGGCCUCUGCCACCUGAAGGAAACAGGGCCCCUCCCACUCACAGCGCUGAUAUGACUGUUUUUUAACCAAGCUGCCUGCUCUGGCCGGUCCCCAUGUUUUCUAGGCUCCAAAUGGUAAAUUCCAGUGACAUUCUGUCUUACAGCUUUUCCCGUCUGGGGAGGACGGUGGUAUAAACAGCCUCAGUAACUGAGAGGGGCAUGGCUAAGGGCUAGAAUUGGGAGAGAUCGCUCAAGAGCAUUCUCCUGGCUGAUAUUAGAGGAAGUCACAACCCACGGAAGUGGCUGUGGGGCUUUAACUCAUCAUAGAAACGCACUCAGUUCCUAUCUGGAAUUCCUGUCAACCUGGGAAGGCUUGCUUUCCCAUGGUGUGGGCAUCUGGCUCAGUGUUUCCUCUAGAAAGUAAUCAUCUGGACACCUGGAUUUCAGACUUCCGCCCCCCAGUCCUGUGAGAGAAUAAAUAUCUUUGGUUUUGAGCCACCCGGUUUGUGGUGCUUGGUUGGGGCAGCCCCAGGAACUACUAAAGAGUAUAAAAGCUUCCUUUGAUGCAUAAAACAUGAUGAAGUAUACGCUUUCUCUCAAGCACUUCACAUUUGAGGGGCCCGGGGCAAGAAUAUAAAUAGAGGCCCAAAGUUAAAAAUCAAGCAGUCACUUGAAUAAAAUAUGUCCUAUCACCAUAGUAAUGAUUACAGCAGGUAGGAUCCAAGGAUGAAUGCUGGAACUGGUGGCCAUCCUUUAAGGGGACCCAGGAUACGUGCGUUGCCUCGUGUUUAUCAUUAUUGUGGUGGUUUCAAUAUAUGCCUCCAAAUUCUUUGAUCCUCCUACCUCAAAGAGGUAGAGAGGCUUAAAUCCUCUGCCCCAGAGUGUGGUCCAGGUAUAGUGACUUGCUUCUAACAGAGUAUGGGAAGGGAAGUGUUUUAUCAAUGGAGGAAUCUGGCAGACACCUGUUAGGUGAUGUCGCUAGCACAUACACCCUGAUAUACAGUGACGAGAGCACUUCACCCCUGUGGCAUCUCUCCCAAAUCCUUAACCCCAGUUGAAUCCUGAAAAAAAUAUCAGGAAAAUUGAAAUUGAGAGACAUAGUGCAAAAUAUCUAAUCGGUAUUCUUCAAAAAAGCGUCAAGGUCAAGAAAAACAAAGACCAAGAAAUUGUCAUAGAUGGGAGUAGACUAAGAAGACACGAUGAGUAAAUAUAAUAUGAUAUCCUGAACUGAGCCUUGGAACAGAACUAUUAGUGGAAAAACUGGCGAAAUCUGGGAGAAAAAAAAAAAACCCUUUAGUUAAUAGUAUUGUACCAAUGUCAUUGCUUAAUUUUGACAAAUGGUCACAUUAAAUGUCGGUAUUGGGGAAGCUGGGCAAAGGGUGCAGGGGAACUCUGUACCUAUCUUUAUAGCUCUUCUGUAAAUCUUUGCAACGUUUCUGUAAAUUAUUUCUAAAUAAAACGUUUGGAAAAAAGGU